rnacentral:rRNA from 1 species
AGCCUGCCCACUGAUUUAGUUUAAAGGGCCGCGGUAUAUUGACCGUGCGAAGGUAGCAUAAUCAUUAGUCUUUUAAUUGAAGGCUUGUAUGAAUGGUUGGACAAAAAGUAAGCUGUCUCAAUUAUAAUAAUUGAAUUUAACUUUUAAGUGAAAAGGCUUAAAUAAAUUAAGGGGACGAUAAGACCCUAUAAAGCUUGACAAUAAUUUAAUUAUACUAUCAAUUGUUAGUAUAACUUGGUUUUAAUUAAUAUUUGUUGCGUUGGGGCGACGAGAAUAUAAUAGGUAACUGUUCUUAAAUAUUUAAUAACAAAUAUAAUUGGAAAUUAGUAUGAUCCUCUAUUAGCGAUUAAAAGAUUAAGUUACUUUAGGGAUAACAGCGUAAUCUUCUUUGAGAGUCCCUAUCGACAAGAAGGUUUGCGACCUCGAUGUUGAAUUAAGGUAUCCUUAUGAUGCAGCAGUUAUAAAGG